AGCGAACGCUGGCGGCAGGCCUAACACAUGCAAGUCGAACGAACCUUUCGGGGUUAGUGGCGGACGGGUGAGUAACACGUGGGAACGUGCCUUUAGGUUCGGAAUAACUCAGGGAAACUUGUGCUAAUACCGAAUGUGCCCUUCGGGGGAAAGAUUUAUGGCCUUGGGGGUGGCCAGCGUGGGAUUCGCUGGUUGGUUGGGGGAGGGGCUUACCAAGGCGAUGAUGGGUAGCAGGCCCGAACGGAGGAUAGGCCACAUUGGGGCUGUGACACGGCCCAGACGGAUACGGGAGGCAGCAGUGGGGAAUAUUGAACAAUGGGCGGAAGCCUGAUGCAGAAACGCCGCGUGCGGGAUGAAGGCCUGCGGGUUGGAAACCGCUUUCGCCUGUGACGAAGCGUGAGGGACGGUAAUGGGUAAAGAAGCACCGGCUAACUACGUG
rnacentral:rRNA from 1 species